CAUUUAUUUAAGUUGUCUUAAGUUAGAAAAACUAAGUAAGCUGGAAGUUUUGCUUCUCAGUGCGGAAGGAUGAAAGAUGUGUUUUGAAAAUGCCACGUGACUACCGUCCUCCUCCCUCUCGGAUCAGUCCGCAUGUUCACGGUGCAUUUUUUAUGGAAUAUGUUGAGCAAACCUGGAGAAGCGUCAGCUCAAGAUAUUAUUGUUGUCAUUGCUGUGGAUCUUUACCUGAUACACUGACUUGGCCCAUCGGGACCAGCACUCCUGCUGUUGGACAGAAAGACAUCAACUUGAGAUAUGACUGCACUAUGCUGUUGCUGUGACUCCAGUUAAUUCUACAAGACAUGCUGUGACACCAGGAGAGAUGAGUCCUCCAUCACAGAUGGUGUGGUCAGUGAAGAUGGUCGCCUGCAGGUUCAAGCUCAUUGCAUCUCCAACCCACAUCCACUGCCACUGUACUGAAGGGAAGUUAAAGACUUUCUUCUGCACCUCACAUUUGGAUCACCUCGAUCCAUGACAGUCAUUCAGGCAGUAAUGCCUGGACUGGAAACAAGCCGUCCUUAAAAUAUUACAACAUUCCAGCUCAUGUGUUGGAAUGAAAA
ensembl:lncRNA